rnacentral:rRNA from 1 species
AUUGAACGCUGGCGGCAGGCCUAACACAUGCAAGUCGAGCGGAGCGGCGGACGGGUGAGGAAUGCCUAGGAAUCUGCCAGGUAGUGGGGGAGAACGUCCGGAAACGGGCGCUAAUACCACAUACUCUCAGAUGAGCCUAGGUCGGAUUAGCUAGUUGGGUGGGUAAAGGCAUACCAGGGCGACGAUCCGUAACUGGUCUGAGAGGAUGAGCAGGCACACUGGAACUUAGACACGGUCCAGACUCCUACGGGAGGCAGCAGUGGGGAAUAUUGGACAAUGGGCGAAAGCCUGAUCCAGCCAUGCCGCGUGUGUGAAGAAGGUCUUCGGAUUGUAAAGCACUUUAAGUUGGGAGGCGUUACCAACAGAAUAAGCACCGGCUAACUUCGUGCCAGCAGCCGCGGUAAUAC